UUAAAAAGCUCGUAGUCGGAUUUUGGCUGAGAACGGUCGGUCCGCCGUUAGGUGUGCACUGACUGGUCUCAGCUUCCUGGUGAGGAGGUGUGCUUCAUCGCCACUUAGUCACCGUGGUUACUUUGAAAAAAUUAGAGUGUUCAAAGCGGGCUUACGCUUGAAUAUAUUAGCAUGGAAUAACACCAUAGGACUCCUGUCCUAUUUCGUUGGUCUCGGGACGGGAGUAAUGAUUAAGAGGAACAGUUGGGGGCAUUCGUAUUUCAUUGUCAGAGGUGAAAUUCUUGGAUUUAUGAAAGACGAACUUCUGCGAAAGCAUUUGCCAAGGAUGUUUUCAUUGAUCAAGAACGUAAGUUGGGGGCUCGAAGAUGAUUAGAUACCAUCCUAGUCUCAACCAUAAACGAUGCCGACUAGGGAUUGGCGGAUGUUAAUUGAUGACUUCGCCAGCACCUUAUGAGAAAUCCAAGUUUUUGGGGUUCCGGGGGGA
rnacentral:rRNA from 1 species